GCUUACGGCCAUACCACCUUAUGCACGCCCGAUCUCGUCUGAUCUCGGAAGCUAAGCAGGGUCGGGCCUGGUUAGUACUUGGAUGGGUGACCGCCUGGGAAUACCAGGUGCUGUAAGCA
ensembl:rRNA 5S_rRNA 5S ribosomal RNA